rnacentral:sRNA from 1 species
AAUUAAAGGUGGAAAAAGGGGAAACGUCCCUGCAAAGUUCUGAGACACAUCCUCCUGAAGUGGCUCUUCCUCCUGCGGGGGGGCCGCCUGCCCUGGAAAAUUCCACUGCUCUCCUUGAGGGAGUUAAUACAGUUGUGGUGACAACUUCUGCCCCAGAGGCUUUGCUGGCCUCCUGGGCGAGAAUUUCAGCCAGGGCGAGGACGCCAGAGGCAGUGGAAUCUCCACAAGAGGCCUCUGGUAAGCACAACAUGAAGAGCUUAUUCUGGUCCAAUGGGGAAAUAAGCUUAGUAGAUAUCAAUCACUGGUACAUUUUAGGGUAUAUCAAAAUCCCUUUGAGGGCCGGUGAUUCCUGGACCCUGCCCACAGAGUUUCUGAUGCAGGUCUAGGGCAGGACCUGAGCAUUUGCAUUUCUUUUUUUUUUUUCCUUUUUUUUUUUUUUUUUUUGAGACAGUUUCUCCCUUGUUGCCCAGGCUAGAGUGCAGUGGCACGAUCUCAGCUCACUGCAACCUCCACCUCCCAGGUUCAAGCAGUUCUCCUGCCUCAGCCUUCCUGAGUAGCUGGGAUUACAGGCAUGUGCCACCAUGCCUGGCUAAUGUUGUGUUUUUAGUAGAGAUGGGGUUUCUCCAUGUUGGUCAGGCUGGUCUCGAACUCCCGCCCUCAGAUGAUCCUCCCACCUUGGCCUCCCAAAGUGCUGGGAUUACAGGCGUGAGCCACCGCACCUGGCAAGAGUUUGCAUCUCUAACAGUUUCCCAGGCAGUACUAAGGAUGCUGGUCUGGGGACCACAGUUUGAGAACCACUGCUCUAAAUUAUUGAUGGCAUCAGAAGGGGAUAGCAGUCUGGUUUUCUUUCUUUACCCUUUAAGCAAUUUAAAUUAAAGGCAAGGUCUAAAAUUAAUUGCCUGCAACUGAGCCCCAGAAUGGCAUUAAUAAGUUAUUUAAAAUAUUUCCCAGCGUUUUCAUUGUAAAAUGGGUAAUACCUACCUUAUAUGUUGGAAGAAUUACAGAAAAUACAACAAAAGAAGACAAACUGCUUAGCAUAAUCCAAUGUGUGUUAAGAGCUGAGACCCCUGAGCUUAUUUCAUGAAGCCCUUUCCAGACACUCUGGGUUAGUCUUUCUACCAUCUGCCCACCUACAACUAUACUACUUCCAACUACAUUUUUAAGUUUUAACAGGAACUGUCUUGUAUGCUUUUUGUUUUGUUUUGCUUUUGAUAUGGAGUCUCGCUCUGUCACCCAGGCUGGAGUGCAGUGGUGCAAUCUUGGCUCACUGCAAGCACCGCCUCCCGGGUUCACGCCAUUCUCCUGCCUCAGCCUCGUGAGUAGCUGGGACUACAGGCCCCCGCCACCACGCCUGGCUAAUUUUUUGUAUUUUUAGUAGAAACGGGGUUUCACUGUGUUAGCCAGGAUGGUCUCGAUCUCCUGACCUCGUGAUCCACCCGCCUCGGCCUCCCAAAGUGCUGGGAUUACAAGCGUGAGCCACUGCGCCCAGCUUGUAUGCUUUUCUAAAGGAGAACAGAAUAGAGAAGAGGUUAAGUUAGGAUUUCAGGGUUCACAUCUUGGAGCUGGUUAAUCAAGGGUGAUGGGCCAUAAUGCAGUCUUACAUCAGUAUGUCAUCCUGGUGUGUGGGUACCUGUCUCUUUCCUUUGCCAUUGCCAGGUGUCAGGUGGUGUGUGGUCCAUGGGAAAAGUCUCCCUGCAGACACAGAUGGUUGGGUUCACUUGCAGUUUCAUGCUGGUCAAGCCUGGGUUCCAGAAAAGCAAGAAGGGAGAGUGAGUGCACUCUUCUUGCUUCCUGCCUCCAAUUUUCCACCCCCGCACCUUGAAGACAAUAUGUUGUGCCCCAAAUGUGUUCACAGGAACAAGGUCUUAAUAAAAAGCCUCCAAUGGGAAUAGAAUAUCAGGAAAAAGGCCACAUCUAUGGUAAUUAAUGGCAGAAAAGCUGGAGAGUUGGAUUCUGCGGUGCUGCUGACAGGUGAACUCUGGUCCUCUGCACCUGUUUAUGGGCCAUGCAGACUGGUGGGGUGGCAGAUGUUAGCCUAAGACCCCUAGCAGUGCCUGUUGCUUUGUGAGUGGAGAUAGAGACUCUUACAUUUAAAAAUGGAAAAACAUUUCACAAAUUACCAUAAAUUGUAGUUAAUAUGUAGAAAAACUCAUUCAUACUACUUUUCUAAAAUAGACGUGACUUCAGCAGCAGCUUUGUUGUUGUAUUUUGAGACAGUGUCCCACUGUUGCCCAGGCUGGAGUGCAGUGGUGCAAUCUCAGUUCAGUGCAAUCUCUGCCUCCUGGGUUCAAAUGAUUCUCCUGCCUCAGCCUCCUGAGUAGCUAGGUACAGGCACCUGCCACCACACCCAGCUAAUUUUUUGUAUUUUUAGUAGAGAUGGGGUUUCACCAUGUUGACCAGGUUGGUCUCAAACUCCUAGACUCAAGUGAUCACCCUCCUCAGCCUCCCAAAAUGCUGGGACUAUUGGCAUGAGCCCCUGCGCCUGACCUUCAACAGCUCUUUUGAGUUCUUCAGCUAAGCAUUAUGAUGGACUUGAGUAAAAUGGUAGUUGGCUCUUGUGCUCAAUUUUCUCUUCCUCUGAACACUGACUACUUUAGGAGCUGCUUCAUUCCAAUUGCAAUUUCAUAAAACGUAAAGUAUUUUAAGGCAAAGAAAGGCUGUUAAUUCCCUCCCUCCCCCAAACACAUGAUUUUUAAUAUUCUAAACAAUAUUUUUCAAAGUUCUCUUAAUAACCUGAGAUUUCUAUGGUUUGACUCCAGGAUCAAAACACAAGGGACUUUGUAUUAUUUCACUUAUAAUUGUUUUGUAUAUUUCUGGAGUUUAAAAUGUUUAAGGUUGCUUCCCACUCAUAAAUACAUAAUAUAUUGAACUUAAAAUGUGUUUAUUAACCGAUUCUCCAUAAAUAAAAAUAAGACCUGUAUGUAAAAUAAUUCAUCUGUUGUAUUUAACCAUAUUCAUUGCAUGCAAAUUUUAUUGUUAGUGUUCUUAACUCAAGUAGGAGUAAACCAAAAAGUGUG